rnacentral:rRNA from 1 species
AUACGUAGGUGGCAAGCGUUGUCCGGAAUUAUUGGGCGUAAAGCGCGCGCAGGCGGUCCUUUAAGUCUGAUGUGAAAGCCCACGGCUCAACCGGGGAGGGUCAUUGGAAACUGGAGGACUUGAGUGCAGAAGAGGAAAGUGGAAUUCCAAGUGGAGCGGUGAAAUGCGUAGAGAUUUGGAGGAACACCAGUGGCGAAGGCGACUUUCUGGUCUGUAACUGACGCUGAGGCGCGAAAGCGUGGGGAGCAAACAGGAUUAGAUACCCUGGUAGUCCACGCCGUAAACGAUGAGUGCUAAGUGUUAGGGGGUUUCCGCCCCUUAGUGCUGCAGCUAACGCAUUAAGCACUCCGCCUGGGGAGUACGGUCGCAAGACUGAAACUCAAAGGAAUUGACGGGG